AACACAUGCAAGUCGAACGCGAAAGUCCCGCAAGGGAUUAGUAGAGUGGCAAACGGGUGAGUAACACGUGGGUGACCUGCCUUCGAGUGGGGGAUAACGUCCCGAAAGGGACGCUAAUACCGCAUGACAUCCUGCCUUUGAAGAGGUGGAGCUUAAAGCCGGGGAUCGCAAGACCUGGCGCUUGAAGAGGGGCCCGCGCCUGAUUAGCUAGUUGGUGAGGUAACGGCUCACCAAGGCAUCGAUCAGUAUCCGGCCUGAGAGGGCGGACGGACACACUGGGACUGAGACACGGCCCAGACUCCUACGGGAGGCAGCAGUGGGGAAUUGUUCGCAAUGGGCGCAAGCCUGACGACGCAACGCCGCGUGGAGGAUGAAGAUCUUCGGGUCGUAAACUCCUUUCGAUCGAGACGAACGGCUUCCGGGUGAACAAUCCGGAAGAGUGACGGUACCGAGAGAAGAAG
rnacentral:rRNA from 1 species